rnacentral:tRNA from 1 species
CGGGAAGUAGCACAACUUGGCAGUGCACGUGGUUUGGGACCAUGAGGUUGCAGGUUCAAAUCCUGUCUUCCCGACCA